rnacentral:rRNA from 1 species
AUGGAGCGGAGCGGUGGUAGCAGCGGAAGAGACAGGUUGAAGCCGGAGAAGCGGAUGCUGCUGCGGUUGAAGGUGAGCAGACCACAAGCUUUGAAGUUUGACCUUGGAAGAAAACAAAUGGAAUGGCUGCCAAAUUUGGCUGUUUCUAAUGCUUGCAUACGAGUAAAUGAAGGAUUGCUGCCAACUCGAGUUGCAGUGGUGAAGAAGAAGAGGAAUUUGCAUCAUCACCAAGAAAGACAAGAAAGAGAGCACAAGGAAAGGGCGGAGGCUGCUGCAGGCGUCCCUCUGGUGAAGCCCCUUGGUGGUGUGGGCCGGCGGAGGUGCUGCGGUUAG